UACGAAGGGUGCAAGCGUUACUCGGAAUUACUGGGCGUAAAGCGUGCGUAGGUGGUUUGUUAAGUCUGUUGUGAAAGCCCCGGGCUCAACCUGGGAAUGGCAAUGGAUACUGGCAAGCUAGAGUGCGGUAGAGGGUAGUGGAAUUCCCGGUGUAGCGGUGAAACGCGUAGAGAUCGGGAGGAACACCAGUGGCGAAGGCGGCUACCUGGUCCAGCACCGACGUUCAGGCACGAAAGCGUGGGGAGCAAACAGG
rnacentral:rRNA from 1 species